rnacentral:rRNA from 1 species
AUUGAACGCUGGCGGCAGGCCUAACACAUGCAAGUCGAACGAGUGGCGGACGGGUGAGUAAUGUCUGGGAAACUGCCUGAUGGCGGGGGAUAACUACUGGAAACGGUAGCUAAUACCGCAUACCAUCGGAUGUGCCCCGAUGGGAUUAGCUAGGAGGGUGGGUAAAGGCUCACCUAGGCGACGAUCCCUAGCUGGUCUGAGAGGAUGACCAUCCACACUUGAACUGAGACACGGUCCAGACUCCUACGGGUGGCAGCAGUGGGGAAUAUUGCACAAUGGGCGCAAGCCUGAUGCAGCCAUGCCGCGUGUAUGAAGAAUGCCUUCGGGUUGUAAAGUACUUUCAGCGGGGAGGCGUUACCCGCAGAAGAAGCACCGGCUAACGCCGUGCCAGCAGCCGCGGUAAUAC